rnacentral:rRNA from 1 species
AUUGAACGCUGGCGGCAGGCCUAACACAUGCAAGUCGAACGAGUGGCGGACGGGUGAGUAAUGUCUGGGAAACUGCCUGAAGGAGGGGGAUAACUAAUGGAAACGGUAACUAAUACCGCAUACAAUCGGAUGUGGCCAGAUGGGUUGAGCUCGUAGGUGGGGUAAAGGCUCACCGAGGCGACGAUCCCUAGCUGGUCUGAGAGGAUGACCAGCACCACUGGAACGUCGACACGGUCCAGACUCCGACGGGUGGCAGCAGUGGGGAAUAUUGCACAAGGGGCGGAAGCCUGAUGCAGCCAUUCCGCGUGUAUGAAGAAGGCCUUCGGUUUGUAAAGUACGUUCAGCGGGGAGGCGUUACCCGCAGAAGAAGCACCGGCUAACUCCGUGCCAGCAGCCGCGGUAAUUC